rnacentral:lncRNA from 1 species
AGUGACUGAAUACAGAUAGUCAUCCAGGGACCAAGAUGGCUGGCGAUGCUUGUGGCUUCCGCAACUGGUCCAGGCUCUAUCCAGAAGGUAACUGAAAUCUCGGUGAGGUGGCACAGGCCUGUAUGACUAGCAAGGCAGGAGCAUAAUGAAUUCCAAGCCAACAUGAGCUCUGUUUUCAAACAAACGAUCUGAAGACAAUAACACGCGAAGCUCAGAGAGGAGAAGACAGCUUAAACACGUGGUGGCCAGGUCUGUCUGAGUGUCUCACCUUCAGUUCCAGUCAAAGGUGUUGCAAGUAGCUUUUGCUACCCUGCCCAGGAUCCGGGAAUGGGCAGCGCUACCAGCCCCCACCCAGCUUCCCAGGAAUCCACAGAUAAAAGACACAGACACACAGUUGUUCAAUUUCAAUCUGCCUUUUGAUACAAUUGCUGGGCGAUACUAUCUCCCGCCAGGAAAAGCUUGCCCUCAUCAAUAUUCUUAUCUCCGCACUUCUCCACCUGCCCUCAGAUUUAGUAGCUCAGUUACAUCCUACUUAAUCACUUCCGACUUCCCUGCCUGUGGGAGUGGUCACAUACGGCUGCUCCACCCAAGAUCUCACGGGGCUGGUCACCUUUUCUUCAUCAGAAGCACCAGGAACUCUGGUCUCUCCUUGCCUCUCGGGACCUGGAAGUCCUGCCUAUCUCUCCUGCCCAGUGAUUGGCCCAUGGCGUCUUUACUGAGAGACCAAGAACCAAUUGGGGGAACAGGACCACCCAUACACAAAGGUUCUGUUGCCAGAAUAUAACAGGUAACCCUGCUUGUUAGCAGGAAGCCGGAGAAGAGGGCUGGCUGCAGGCUGGCCGUGGAGAGGCCUUUGGAUGCUUUUUUGGUUCACGGGGGAAAUGACUUUCCAAGCCUCAGUUUGCCUGCUAUUGAGAAUUGGUUUGCUCCCUUUUUCACGACAUCUGGUUACUAUGCCAUUUUACCCAAGACAGUAAACCUAACAGUAACAU